AUUCCUCGCCCCCCCCUCCCCCUCCCCAAAAAAAAAAUCUUUGUCGAACAAGAAGGAUCACGAAACCACCCUUUUGUCUCUCCGGAAUCACUCGAAGGAAAGAGAGAGAAAAAGCGAGAGAAGGAGAGAGAAAGGAGGAGUCGAAUCGAAAUCCUCCUCGGGGUCCUUCGCGAAAGAAGGGGUUGCAUUCGGGCAGGAAAAAAAGAGCUGCUAAUUGACACGAGCGAUUGCACGUAACGGUAUAAUUAGAGAGAAGAAUACGGAGCCUGGACCGGUGCACCGAUGAACCAAUGAACCGGCCAGAGAGCGGCAAGAGGGGAAGGAGAGAAACAGAAAGGCAAAGGGAAGCAGGGGAGAGAAGCAGCCGGCAAGUUCCGUCGAGGGUAGUGAUGGGCAUUCAGUUUCUCCUAUAUCGAUUAUCAAGGAUUAUCAGCUCAAGUACGCAAUAAUUUCUGGAACAGGGUUGCUACAAUUAUAAUAUCUUUUAAAUUAAUCCGUGUGUUAAAGAUUUAUUUAACCUUUAACCUAAUAUGACGAUAAGAUAAUAAGAUGGCUUUUUAAAAUCAAAUCUAAAAAACAUUGAAAAGUCAAGUAAAAUUUAACUGCAACAAAUAUCUGAAGAAGAACGAACCGAUCUACCAGCCAUAAUUUAUCCUGAACGUUACUCGUCAGAUGUCCAACUGCACGCGAAAGGAAGGCAAACCAAGGAGAUUCAAUUUUAUCAUUUAAUCGACGAAUAAUUACGGAUAAUGGAGAGCUCGCGGUGUUCGUUUCAACAGAUUCGUGGUGCCUUAAGGCCAUCACUAGUCGAGGGGGCUCCCUCUUCGGAAGAACGAGCAGGAGAGACCGAUCCCGUGGCGUGCAGGAGAGACAAGGCAGCGGGAGAGAACGAAACGUACCACGGUCUCGUGGAUUCUGCCUGCACUCUGCGACCAUUCCGCAGUAACACGUCGUCCAUCCAAGUCGGUUUCGCAGCGUUCCUCGGUCCCUGGCCUCUUGCCACGAGGCAGUACUUGUCCUCGAGAUGAUCCAGCAACCGAUCCGCCGUGGGACCGGCUUUUCUUCAUCGAUCCUCUCCGCCUCUGUUUAAAAAGUCUCUCCUUCGAGUCCUUUACCUGAAAAAAUUCCUUCGAUCGUGCCUGGGAACUUCACGUGUGCCAAAUAUGAUUCUGAUUCCUUCGCCUCUUCGGAUCUCGUAAUAUUCUCGCUGGAUCUCAAAGUGGUGAACGGUGAACAGGACACUUUGAAAAAAGAAAGAAAAAAGAAAUUUCGAAUCAGCGUGAAUGGGUGAUUCCUAAGACGAUUCAUUCGGCCGGAGGUUGUUUCGAAGUUCGUAGGCAACAUAGCUACGGAGACGCUUGGUGACGCUUCGUUUUUCGAAUCGACGAGGAUGAAGAGCCACGAAGAAGGUCGAGAGGAUUUUACCACGGUGUGCCACGGCGUUCGUCGCGGACGCCUCGGGGAACGGAAGUGACGAGAAAUCUUUCGGUGUUUGAAGAGCUCACGGAAUGAUUGAGAAUUAGAGAAUGUGUUUACCUGUUGGUGUUUCGAGUGACUGCUUUCGAUGACACUUCCGCAACCGUUUCGCCUCUCGACGAACAGGUGAUUCGCGGUUUCAUGAGACCGAUUCUUCUUCUCUGCAUUUAUCAACAGUGACUAACGAAAAUUUUCUUGCACCCCCCCUAAAUGAUCCACGUAUUUAAUUAAUAAACGAUUCUUUCUCCCUUUUUAAAGUUAUUAAAUUUUUCAUUUUCAAAGAAUUGUAAGAUAUUCUCCCGCCCUC